AUAAAAGUGACGCGAAGCAGGAAGCGUGCUCGCGAACAUGAAAGCGAGGCCAUACACUAACCAAUCAGAGGAGUUGAGAGUACGAAAAAAGAAAAAAAAAAGGAGUUGAGAGUGCGAAGUACAGCGGCCAUUUUCGGUUUGACUUGCAUUGCGCGUAGAGGACGCUUUCUAGGAAACAUCGCAAUUUAUACAGAGGACAACCUGAAGGAAAUGUCUUGGUAUCCAACACCCGAGCCGCGGUUUAGAGAAGAAGUGUCUCUUCGAAAACGAUUUCAUCCCAACAACUAUGUCGAUGUUGUUUUGACUUACGAUCUAGAUAGAGGAGCUUUUGGCGCAAAGCAUGGAUGGUUCACUGAGCCGACAAGAACUUGGCUGGGAUACACAAGAGUAAAAGUAACAUCCAACAACUCAGGAUGUAGUUAUGUCGUGACCCGACGUGGGCAAGAAGGUAUGUGUAGAUGAAUUUGAAUCAAUUCCGUUUUUGUCUCUCAAUUGCAUGACAUUUAUUUAUCUUUCUGACCAACGCCAGAUUUCUUGAGAUUGAUAUAUUUGGCAGCGAUAGAUCUCGAGGAGACCUAGAGUUAACCUCGUUCACCGGUGUCAAAGCUACAUAAGCGAAAUACCGCAAAAUGUUUACUUGAACGCCUCAAGGAAGGUGCAACGCAAAAAGAAAACAUAGGUAGCUCAUUUCGAGCUGUGGUCAUUUUUUUACAACUCAUUACAUGCGGAAAUCAGUUUCUCCUACAGCAAAGCUUCUCCAAUGCUAAAUGUCAUUGUUUAUAAAAACAAUAGGUUGAGUAUUACCAUAAAGACCUGAAUUAACAAACACUGCCAAUGAUUUUGAAGCCUUGUGGAUUUAAGUACAUAAUGAUCGUUACUCAAAUUUUUUAUGUGGAAUUCUUUAGUGGCACCCACUCGGUAAUCUGGACAGAUUUAUUAAAUAUCUGAGCUCUAUAGCUGAGAGGAUCAAUCAGGUAAAACAAAAUUAGCCUAAUCAGAGGAGACUUUUCCACUGAUCUUUACAAAAGUAGAAUCCUAUAAAGCAACUGAUAGUUUCAUCAAUGCUUUGGCCUCAUACAUUUUCUAGCCUUACAUAUUGCAACCAAAAACAAUCACAGAUCACUCAAAGAAGUAUCAAUUGAUUAUAUUUUCAAUUCAGUAGGGCACUUUACCAACAGUGGUAACAUGGUACAGGAUCUCACUGACCCCCCUCCUAAUUUUCAAUGAAUUUAUAACAAUUCCUUGCAGUAUUAAAAUAUUUAGGAGGGAUUACUCGAAAACUAAUCAGCGGCCCUUGAUCGAUGGCAUUAAGUUAAUUGACUUGGAAACUGUUUUUGUGUCUAGUGCCUGUACAUGCACUUUGUUUAGAUCAUUCUACUCAAAACUUUCGAGUUCAAUAGACAAACAUAAACCAGUUAAGUAACCAUCUCGAAGGGAAAAAAAGCUUAAAGCAAAGGCAUUGAUAACUAAUGCUCUUCCAAAACUGACCUAUUCGAGUUCAAUUUUAUAAUUACAAGAAAUGCCUAAAGACAAAGAGCACCUAUUCCCAAACGAACUUUUGACAAUACAUGAACAAACUAAACUAAAAAUAGAACCAUCUAAAAAUAGGCAAAAGACAAUACAACUAUAAGAAUUUAUUCGACAACAUUAGAGAUGGCAAAGGAUAUGGAUGAGUACUAUGCAAAUACAACAUUUCGAGUCACAUACUAGCCAGAGACUUGGUGAGAUUGUGGAAAUUAAUUCCGAAACUAUUGAACUUAAACUUGUUCUCAAUGUAUUCAAUGAUUGUUUGGCCAAAUUUGGUAAACACUAAGAAAGUAAAACACAAAUUGUGAGAUAUCUGUAGAUAUUCCUUCCUUGAUAAAAAUAGAGUUUUGCAUUGCAAGAACAUUUUUCUAUUGGCAGUAAACUUGAUUUUGUUAAUUUCUUUUCUGUGUGUGAACUGGUACAUGUAGCUGAAUUAACUUUACUUAUCUCUGUUUGUGUGUGUCUAUGUUAGUUUGUUUCUGGUCCCCGAGCCAAAAACAUAAAGUGUCUUUCCUUUUAAGCAUGAAAUAUCUUUCCUUUUAACUGGCAGUCUGACAUUUUUAACUCUUAAGUUAUGUCUUGAAGUUAAACUUCUAUCAUUAUUCUCCUUUUCUUGGUUUAACAUUAAACACUCUUUACUAUUGUAAGUCUAUAGUGAAGUAAAGUUAUUUUGUUGUUUUUGCUGUCAAUAUGCGAUAUAUUUCAGUGAAUGGAUCUGUGAGGGGUUUUGCAUGUCCUUAUUUUAACUCUCAAACAUUCGAUGGUACAUAAAGACGGCUGUAAACGCCAGUUUCUGAAGUUGUCACUUUCUAUCGUUCUACUUGGUUAUUGCUCUUUUUUUGUUGACACAAAUCACACUAAUUUUUUUUAACAGACUAUAGCACUGACGGGGAUGACUGGAUGAGGGUGAAAACAGUUUCCUAUUAGCUGUGAAUAUUCAACACCAUUGAUACAGCAAGUUCAGAAAUCACUGAAAAUAACCGUUUCGAGUGUAAAGGAAGGAAAUAGAGUUCACACUUUGAUGUCAAUAAAACUUUGCCUGCAUCAUUUCACAAGAUUAGCUAGUACUGACACCUAGAAACAUAACGCGCGUGAAAGUUGUUGCUUAUUGUUAAUACCAUUAUUUCUAAUAAAAGAAAUGCACCUUUUUACGACCAGUUAUUGACGAACCACCCUAAUAAAAUCUUAUCCAUCUUACUGUUGUACUCAAAGUUUAAUUAUUCAUAUUUCUAAGUCAGUGAAUGUUGCCCUAGAGGUUUUUUCAACUCCUUGAGUGAUACAAUGAAAAACAUGGUUACAAGGGAGAAAAAAAAUUUCAAGAAACAUUUAUUUGGUGCUAGUUGGGUGCAAUUUAAAAGCAUGACAUUGCUUGCUACGUUUCAAUUAAAAUCCGUUCGUAUCCUCAUAUAUAAACUCCUACAGUAACCGCUGUAUCCUAGUGAUGCCGUGUUCACUGGUAUUAUGGGAAUCAUGAUAUCAUUAAUAAAUUCUGCACCAGAAAGGGCUUACUGUUAUCGUUGUCGUCACAACUUAAUUCGGCAGCAAACAAGCAAACAUCCCUUUCUAGAUAUACGCUUUUUGGUUUAGUCAUGAGCGGGUUUGAAACUGAUGAUUAUGUUUCUGAUACGUGCGAAAUUGUCAAAGUCCUGAAUAGUUUUGGUGAAUCUGUAGCCACGAUCUUCCGCAAGCCAAAUGGAGAAUUUGAAGUUCAAGGGGCUUGUUUGGUUCGCAACGAACUUAAGCAG